GGGGCAGUAGUGUAAUGGUUAUCACUGAAGGCUUGCAUAAUCCUGUCUUUCAGGAAAAGCAACUAUCUGUUUCUUUCCGAUCCCGGUUCAAUUCCGGGCUGCUCCA